rnacentral:tRNA from 1 species
UAAAAAUUAGUUAAAUUUAUAAUAUAAAUAUGUCAUAUUUAAGUUAUUUUAAAAAUAUUUUUAU